rnacentral:piRNA from 1 species
UAAGAGGGUAGAUAUCUCGAUGCAGAUUU